rnacentral:rRNA from 1 species
CGGCGUCACGAGUGGCAAUCACAUUUAUUGGGUCUAAAGCGUUCGUAGCCGGUUUAGUAAAUCUUUUGUGAAAUUGUCGGGCUUAACUCGACAGCGUGCAGAAGACACUACUAGACUUGAGACCGGGAGGGGUUAGAAGUAUUUCAGGGGGAGCGGUAAAAUGUUAUAAUCCCUGAAGGACUACCAAUGGCGAAGGCAUCUAACCAGAACGGAUCUGACGGUGAGGAACGAAGGCUAGGGGAGCGAACCGGAUUAGAUACCCGAGUAGUCC